rnacentral:rRNA from 1 species
UUUCAGGCUAUAGGUCUUUCAGGAUAUGAUUUUUGGUGGUGCAUGGCCGUUGGUGGUGCGUGGGUUGACCUGUCUAGCGUUGAUUCAGAUAACGAGCGAGAUUAUCACCAAUUAAAUAUAUAAAUAUUUUUAUUAAAAUAAUUUAUUUUCUAAUUGGGACUCCCUGCGUCUAAGCAGGAGGAAGAUGA